CAAGCUCUCAGAUGCUAGAGCUUCAGUGCAAAGCAAGAGCAUCCUGAGUUUGAGUAAAGUCGGCUUAAGAUGGAUCCAGUCACGCUUAUUGGAGCUGGUGUAGGAGUAGUCGCAACAGUUGUUGCAGCUCCAGUUGUUCUUGGAUUGGCUGGUUUCACCGCAGGUGGAGUUGCUGCAGGUUCUUUUGCCGCCUCUAUGCCAGCUGCCGUGGUGGCAGCUCUACAAGCCUUCGGUGCUGCCUGAAAAGGAAUCCCUUUGGCAGGUCAAGCCAUGGUGGGGGCUGCCGGAGCAGCUGUGGGUGCCGCUGCAAGCAUGGCUAGCAACUGUACUUUGUAACUAGUCAAUCUAUUGUAUCAGUAAUUAGUUCUAUCUAUCUAUCUAUCUAUCUAUCUAUAUGAUCAUUAUCCCACUGCCUGUCUCAUUGAUCAGCAUCAUUUAGGAUGUUGUGCUGUAUCAGUAUCUCUAGGUUUCUGCUAUAAACUGCUGUUUAUGGCAGUAACUAUUAGCCUUCUCUGUCAAUUAUUUAGUUAUCAUAAACUAAUUCACUGUUAUAUCUCAGAGUUACUCAAACUGUCAGUUUUGCUGAAUAAUGAAAAGGGUUUCUCACGUUUCCACACUAGGAACACUCUGGAACAAUAUAAGGCACUAUUUUGAAGUUGCUUGUUCUCCGGGACCUUUAGUUUGUAUUUGACUUUGAUGGGGUUAUUGGAAGAGCCAUGUUUUUCGAGUUCUUGCAGGAACUUAUAUCCACGUUAUAAGUUUCUCAUAGAACUGACAGUCUAAGAGGUUCUCCAAAUGGUUUCUUAAGCACCUUGUAUGUGUUUGCAAAUGUAUUUACUUUUUUUAGGCCUAAUAAACAAUUG